AGAGUUUGAUCCUGGCUCAGGAUGAACGCUGGCGGCGUGCUUAACACAUGCAAGUCGAACGAACCUUCGGGUUAGUGGCGGACGGGUGAGUAACGCGUGAGAAUCUGCCCUCAGGAGGGGGAUAACGGCUGGAAACGGCCGCUAAUACCCCAUAUGCCGCGAGGUGAAACGAAUUUCGCCUGAGGAUGAGCUCGCGUCUGAUUAGCUAGUUGGUGGGGUAAAGGCCUACCAAGGCUUCGAUCAGUAGCUGGUCUGAGAGGAUGAUCAGCCACACUGGGACUGAGACACGGCCCAGACUCCUACGGGAGGCAGCAGUGGGGAAUUUUCCGCAAUGGGCGAAAGCCUGACGGAGCAACGCCGCGUGAGGGAUGAAGGCCUCUGGGCUGUAAACCUCUUUUAUCAAGGAAGAAGAUCUGACGGUACUUGAUGAAUAAGCCACGGCUAAUUCCGUGCCAGCAGCCGCGGUAAUACGGGAGUGGCAAGCGUUAUCCGGAAUUAUUGGGCGUAAAGCGUCCGCAGGCGGUCUUUUAAGUCUGCUGUUAAAGCGUGGAGCUUAACUCCAUUUCGGCAGUGGAAACUGGAAGACUAGAGUGUGGUAGGGGCAGAGGGAAUUCCCGGUGUAGCGGUGAAAUGCGUAGAUAUCGGGAAGAACACCAGUGGCGAAGGCGCUCUGCUGGGCCAUAACUGACGCUCAUGGACGAAAGCCAGGGGAGCGAAAGGGAUUAGAUACCCCUGUAGUCCUGGCCGUAAACGAUGAACACUAGGUGUCGGGGGAAUCGACCCCCUCGGUGUCGUAGCCAACGCGUUAAGUGUUCCGCCUGGGGAGUACGCACGCAAGUGUGAAACUCAAAGGAAUUGACGGGGGCCCGCACAAGCGGUGGAGUAUGUGGUUUAAUUCGAUGCAACGCGAAGAACCUUACCAGGGUUUGACAUCCUGCGAAUCCCUUGGAAACGAGGGAGUGCCUUCGGGAACGCAGUGACAGGUGGUGCAUGGCUGUCGUCAGCUCGUGUCGUGAGAUGUUGGGUUAAGUCCCGCAACGAGCGCAACCCACGUCGUUAGUUGCCAGCAUUCAGUUGGGCACUCUAGCGAGACCGCCGGUGAUAAACCGGAGGAAGGUGUGGAUGACGUCAAGUCAUCAUGCCCCUUACAUCCUGGGCUACACACGUACUACAAUGCUACGGACAAAGGGCAGCAAACUCGCGAGAGCUAGCAAAUCCCAUAAACCGUGGCUCAGUUCAGAUCGUAGGCUGCAACUCGCCUACGUGAAGGAGGAAUCGCUAGUAAUCGCAGGUCAGCAUACUGCGGUGAAUACGUUCCCGGGCCUUGUACACACCGCCCGUCACACCAUGGAAGUUGGCCACGCCCGAAGCCGUUACUCCAACCCUUGUGGAGGAGGAUGUCGAAGGUGGGGCUGAUGACUGGGGUGAAGUCGUAACAAGGUAACC
rnacentral:rRNA from 1 species